UGUGAAACCCUAGGGACCGGACUUGCAGCUAUAAGAAACUGAAUUGCCAUUAGCUUCUUCCAUCUUCUGUUUCCAGCAGCCACCAUAGACAGUAGACACUGUAACAAAACCCUAGGGUUUAGAUAUUGUUCUUGAUUCCUUGCCGUUAUUGUUGUGUUAAUUGUAUAUAAGCAUAUAUGGGUUAUGAUUAUAAAGAGAGAGGGCUUAAGUGGGAUCUUCAACAAAACCCAUUUGGAUUUGGAGGUUAAAAAUGAUGGAAAGAAAGGCAGGCACAAAAGAAGAAGAAGAAGCCGCCACUCAGAGACAGAAAAUUUUGUGUUUGGAAAAUGGUGAGGUAAUUAGGCAGCGGCCAGACAACCGUAGGGAUGGUAUCCACAGAUGACGGGUAUUUUAUCCCGCUUUGUCUACUGAUUCCAUCUCACAUUUCUUACAUUGGAUGAUUUAAAUAUUUUUACGAUUAUUAUUUGUUGGGAGCCCAUGAAUCGGUGGAAGUUCAUAUAUCAAUUAAAUUCAUGAAAAAGGUGGAUGAAAUACCAGUUUUGUUUAUAGGAUUUGUCGGUUUUUAGAGUGUAGUGUUUUGCAUCACAUUUACUAGGAUCUAUGAUAAAACAAGUCAAUUUAUCACUCUAAAGCUAUUUUUUGCUACUAUUCGACCAUUUCAAUCUUGAAGGUAUACCAUAUGCGCACUGAAUUCAGUGCGUAGAAUGGGUGUCCGGGCUUCUAUGGAAACAGGAUGACCGACACAACUUGAUUUUGGAAGUCCUUUAGUGUGCUGAAUUUCAUGCAUAUAUAAUUACUCGCAACAAACAAAUGAUCAAGUCAUUGACCUUUUUCUCGAAGUGCCCUUCUAGAUAAUUUCUCUCAGUGCAUUGAGAGAAUUUAGUGAGAAAGUUAAGGAGAAGCUAUUUGUGCUCUAGUAUAUUUUACUAAUUUUGAUUAGUUACCGCAUGCCCUAGCUUUUUUGUGAAAAAAUUGAUGUUGUGUUCCGUUUCUUUCUGCUGCUCCUUUGUUUCAUGCAGCGCAUGGUGCGUUGUGCAAUAUCUGGUUUUAAGUGUUAAUUAAGCCCAUUUUCAUGGAAUUGAAUCAAUGUGUUUGCAGACCUGCCUCGUCCUAUCUCCAAUUUUACUCGAUUACAAUCUAUGCUUGAAGUUAUGCUGGAAAGAAAGAUCACCACAAUUGAUGCUUUUUUUUCACAUUUUUGUCACAUUUUCCUGUUUUUGUUAGCAUUUUUUUUGGCAUGCGAUGCUUUUUGUCAAAUAUAACAAGAUUUAAUUUUGAGAUCUAUUGAUGCAAUUCGUGUUCUAAAAUUACAUCUAAUGCAAGAUUGCCAGUCUCGCCGCAAAAUUAGCUGCAUGAAUAUAGUAGAAAACUUUUUCCUCAACUGGGACAUUGAGCCUCACGGAAAAAAUUGCAUUCAGAGCUUCAUGAAUGCCCUUACCCGCACAUGUAUGACUUUUCUGUACAAGAGGAAACUGCUGGCCUGUAAGAUCUCAGCAGGUUCAUGGAAACGUCCAUGUUGUAAACUAUGGCUUGUCAUUUGUUUAUUUUUUAGAAAGGAAAAAUAUUAUUUUAAUGUAUUUUCAACUACAAAUUACCGUAAAAUUAUAUAUUCUCAAACACCUUGCCUUCAAAGCUACUCUUUUCACAAGUCUUACUUUGUAAUCCUGAGGCAUAGCUUGUCAAUAACAAUAAUCUCAAAUUUUAUGAUUUUA